rfam:Clostridium sp. FS41 CLFS41_contig000076, whole genome shotgun sequence.
CGUGAGUAUGGGAAUGAGGUUCUCCCUUAGUGAAUACUAAAACCGCUUAUCAAGCUGAUGACUUCUGCGUAAAU